UUUAUCCCUUUGUGUCCGUGUCCUUCUGUUGGCUGCUUUGACGUCGUGAUGGGGAAAACACCAAACGUGGCUGUGGGAAGGGUGGGAAGUGAGAAGCAGAGAUUUCAGCGGCACGGGUGGGUUCCUCUGGGUGGGGGGUGGUUCUCAGCUGAUGCUGUAGCACUGCAAGGAGAUGAGGAUGGGAAGGAGUAGAGAGUCUGCUGCUGACAGAAGCCCAGCUGUGCUGGGGGCUGCUUGGAGGAAAACGUCUUAGGGGAAAGUAAGAAAGGUGGGAGGAAGUGGGAAAGGCUUUCCCCACUUCUGUCUUCACCAUGCAGAUAUCUGAGCUGAGGACUAGAGUGGAUUUGUCAACUCUGCAGUCAGGCAUAAAUGGAGCUUCAUAACUUUGCAAGUGCAAAGCAUUAGCAGUAAGUGAUUUUACAUUAAACACUAAAUAUUGCAGCUAUUAAAGAACAUUCAUCAUCUGCACAAGGUGCCUGAACAGAAAUGAGCUGUAGCAUCUCCUGCAACAUUGACUGUAAACACAUUAAAAGCCCUCACAGCGCUGUCAGUCACUUCCAUCUCAGGGGGAAGGCCUGGUGCUCGGGGGCUCCACCACCAUCCUCAGCACAGAGGGCAGCUCAGUGUCAUCUCCCCAGGGAGGUGCCCCCAGCCCCUUUGCUCUUUGCUCUGCCUUUGGUGCAGUAUCCCAGACUGGAGCCUCCUGUGCACUGCUGUCCCCGUGGAGCAUGGGUGGUGGAAGAGGCUGCAAGAUCCCACCUGCUGCUGUGAGCAGCAGUAAGUGACCACCCCUGGGUGGGUGGUACCAAAAAGGUGAGCCACAGGCAGUGCUGUGCAGUCACUCGUGAUGGAGGUUGUGGGGACAUUGCAGCUUUCUUCCCCAAAUCUCAGAGUGAAUAAAUAAAUCCAAGACAGUGUUUCCUCCUCCUGAGCCGUACCUCUGGUCUGUGCAUUGCCAUCAGCCACACCAAGAGAUGGAACAAGCCUCUGACCUAACGAAGAAGUUUUCAUUUCCUUCUGCUGUUCUGACACCAGGCCAGCCAAGAGCAGCCAUGAAUUGUGCUGAGGAGAUUGCUUGGUCCAAGAUUGUGCUUCAGAUAAGAGUUUGGAUGAUGAUGAUUAAUGCAGCUGCUUUGUUUGUCUGACAGGUGGACCGAUAAAUAGAUAUUGUUGCUAGGAGUACAUUCCUUCCUGCUAUGGUAAGCAGCACAGACAGCCCGAAAUGCUGAUGUUUCUUGGAGAUCUGUGGAACUGGAGGUCGGGGCAGGCUGUACCUUGCCUUUUGAUUGUAAUGGAUAAAGGACUUCAGUCCUUUAAGUGAGGAGUGGUGAUUUCAUCAUGACCUGACAUGUCCUUCGUUUCCAGUAAGGAAAACAAACGAAACCUCACACUUUUGAAAAUAUAGUCCAGGCAUGCUGCAUGCUCAUAAAAGGGCAGAGAGUCCACGGAUGGAAUAGAAAAAAAUAGCUUAAAAUGUCAUCAGAAGCUGUUACGAUCUUUGGAGCUGUGGAUUCCCACACUUUGGGGGCUUUAAACCUGCUGUGCACUGGAGGAUCCAUGCAGCAGACAAAGCAUCAGCCGUUGUGGGGAGAGUUGUCCUCUGUGCCUCAUUACAGAUGGAGACAUGAAGCGACCACGUGGCUGCUGAAGGACAGGUUUUGUUCCCCUGGCUGCUGCUUGGGAAACCCACUGUAAAGAGGAAGAAACAUCCUAAUUUUCUUCUGUACCUCCUACCGACCUGUCUUGCUUUUCCCCACCUACAGGCUCUGGUUAAGCUCUGGAAAGAGGCUUAGAUCAGUGGUGACUUCUUGUUCUUUAAUUCAUGUAAAUGUUCUUUUUAACUAUCUUGGAGUCUUAAACGACCCUCUGGGGAACCUUUUGUGUUUAUGAUUAUUGAAGCAAAAGUUUAUUCCCCUUAAGCACAAAACAAUUGGGGAAUUGAGUGAAAGAACCAAUUUGUUUUCUCGCAUAUGCUGCAAAUGCAAAGGUCAGGUAUGACUGACAUAGCAGUGGGCAAUGCAACACUUGGGAGAAUUCCCCAGAAAAGCAGUGAAAAUGUUUGGUUUCUGAGCUGAGCAGCAGCACAAGGAUUUGUCUGGCUGUAUCCAGGGCCAUGAAGAGCUCACGAGGUGUGGGAUGGGCUUUGCAGGAGUCUGGCUGCUUUGGUGCACGCAGAGCUGCGGGCAGGCACCCAGAGCAGCACGAAGCCUUGGCAGCAGGGAGCGCUUCCCUUGAGGUACUGAUGCUGGAAGGGCACGUGAAUACACCACAAAAGGGUCGUUCACCCUGGGAAAGGAGUCUGAAGCCUUUAGAUGCAAGGGUUUAGUAGCUACAAAGCCAACCUUCUUCCCCCUGCACAGCUUCUCCAGUUGUGUGGCUCUCAUCUCCUGCAGCAACCUGUUGUCGUUCCAUGAGAACAGCAUCCACUUGUUUUCAAACCUCGUGCCUGCUAACUCCAAUUAAUACCCCAUCGUUCUCUUAUUACAAACGACCCUUUGUCUUUACUGUCCGUGCCUGUUGUGUGUCCAUGGCUGACCUGUUUCCAGUUGCCUCCUCUCCAACCUUCUGCCAGGAAAAGCUGCGUGGAGCCCAUGUCCAGAGCUCCCUAAAGCAGCCACUGGUGGGGCUGGCCUCGUGGCUUUGCACUGAGUGAGCUGGGCUCAGCAUCCCUCGCUGUGCCCACGGAGCAUCUGUGUGCUAGAUCACCCUGACACCAACUCGCUUGUUCUUUGUGUACCAAGUUAUGAUCCAGCCACUCCAACAGACAUGUAGAAAAGAAAACUAACAUGGCCUCUAAAAUCAAUGAGCCAGUAAAUAGAGAGCUAUAAAUAAUCAGGAGAGGAUUUAAUUAGCAGAAAACUCCCUUGCAGCACGCUGGUGCCUAUGGCAGUCUCUGGUCUGGAGCUGCCUCCCCUGCUCUGACUUUCUCCAGCUGGUGUAGGCUCCCAUGGUGCAGGGAACCCCAGAGAGGUAAAACUGGAACCUAUGUCCAUGCUAUGAAGCAUCUUCAGCCUGAAAUGACCAAACCUCGUGCAUUCUGGCAGGAUUCUGGGGGCUGCAUGGGAGGCAGAGCCGCCAGCUGAAGGGAGGUGCUCUUGGGGAGGAGCCCAUCCACGCAGCCCUCCCUCCCUCCCUCCCAGUUACUCUGUGCCUGUUUGCUUUUUCAGCCGUAAUUCAGUUUUCCCCUCAUUUGGUUCACGUUUGUGAUUUCACUUAAGGUUUUCAGGUGGAAGUGUGCUACUGAGCAGCAUCAGCCCAGAACUUCUGAGAUUUCUGGGAACCGCUUCACCGAUGCGAGGUGUGCUGCAUCAUGUGCAGACUAAUUUCAUUAUUGAAAGAAUGAUUCCAUUAGGUCAAAGCAGACUGUAAAGAUCCCUCUCCUGUGUUUUACUGCCUUUACUGAGCAUCCAGCCAUAUGCCUCCUUAGUAGCCACGUGCUGUUUGGUUUUAUUAAUGCUUGCAUCUGCUGGUGAUUUGAGCAAGGGCCAAGGGUUCAAAACUGGAACUCAAGGACCCUCUAUUACUGAAGGAUUUUAUUAGCCAUCAAUCUGCUACAUAGUGCCAGUGUUGCCAGUGGGGAAUAAUACAAUCAAACCUCUCUCCCCACUGGUGACAGCCCCACUCUGCUGCAAGGAUCCGCAUGACUUCAUCUGCCUCGUUAACCAUCCCGGAGUAAGUGCCUUUCAGGAGGAGAAAAUACUUGAGCGAAAUACAAAGAAACAUCUGUGAAUGUAGGAAUACACCCAGGACUUGCUUUUCCCAGUUCCACCUCUGUCCUGAGCUCUCUGGAUGGAUUUUGCUCCAUGUUAGACUUGCAUGUGUUACUCCAUUGCUAAAAGGACAUGAAUCCCUUCUACAAAAGGAUUGAACCAAAGCGUCUUAUGUUUCUGGCACUGAGAUCACAGAAUCACAGAGGUUGGAAAAAAAGAAUCACCAAGCCCAACCAUCGGCCCAUGCCCACUCACCAUGUCCCCAGGUGCCAUGCUAACCAGGUGAUCGCACCUGGAGGCCGAUAAUUCCCUUUUUUAAGACUGACAUUGCUCCAUAGCUUGGGCGCUUCCUCCUCUUCCCUGUAAAUGUCACAGAACACAUCAUAGCACAGCCACCCUCGUGUCCCUGCAGCCACCAUGGAUGGGGAUGACCCCUCCUUUCCCACCCCGUCCCUUCCCUUUGCAGGCUCUGUAAUCAUAACCGAGUGGUAAUACAGAACUGUGUGGCUGUUCAGGUCCGCUGAAAUCAGUCUAAUUGCCUUUGGGAUGAGGGGAACGCAGCUCUUUGAGUAACAGAAGGAGGGAUGAUGAGAGGACCAAGCACUGCUUUCAGUUCCUCUAAACGCAGAACGUGGAAAUGCGAACAGGGCUGCUGUAGAUGUCCACCAGCACAGCAUUUCAAAAGCUGGCUGUGAGGAAUAAAAGGAAUGUGGUUCUGAGAGAGAAAGCUACAGGAGAAAAGCAGCACUACCAAACAGAAAACAAAAAAAAACAAUAAGAUGUCAGUACUUGGUGCUGGUGGCUGUGGGGCCGGGCUGUAGGUGCUCAGAGCAGAGGCUGAGCAGCCCCCCAGGUGUGUGAGCUGCCCCUCGCCCUCUGCGUGGGGCUGUGGCUGUCCCACAGCCAUCAUGGGAUUGCUCUGCAGUGAGCUGGAAUGUUGGCCCCCAGCCUUCCCAGUCCUGGAAUUCAGGUUUUUAUUUCCUCUGUAAACUGCGUGGCACAAAAGCAAGGGAUGAAAGCACGCGCUGCUUCAUAGCCCGGGAGCACCGGGGUGAGCUCCUGCCAGCAGUGCAGCUGGUCACUGCGGUGCAGCAUAUGGAAGCAGUAAGUUCCUGUCCUUUCUUCUUCUACCUGUCGUGCUGGGAUUGCGCUCAAGAGAAAAAUAUUUCAUUGUCCGGUAGCUAAAGCUGCCCUUAAUGCUGAGCUUCCCCUGUCCGCUGACUGCCCCCAGAUUAUGUGAGAUGGGAAACAGCGCGGUGACUCCAUGGCAGGUGACAGGCAGGAAGCAUGCGGGGACCUCCCAAAAAAUUUGCUGCCGGGACAGAAGUCCUGGCACUCUGCCUGUUUGUGAGCACACGAAAUUAGAUGUGAAAGUUCGUCGUGUGGCCGACCACCGUGCUCUUACAGAACCAAAGAGCUGCGCUGCGGGCACGGAGCUGGGGCUCUGCUCAUGGAGGAUUGGGGACAACGUGCCCCCACCCUGCUCCUUCCUUCCCGCAGCUCUGCCAGCAUCUCGCUGGCGGAUCAGCUCCUCUUCUAACUGGGGAAGACGAAACAGCGACAAAAGAAACCUACUUCGGGGUUCUGUUUUCUCGGUGCAUCGUUUGUAGCUCUCCUAUAUUAAAUUUUAUUGGGGCCAUUUCAUGCAUAAACUUCAUUUUUCUUUUGUGCUGGAGAAAACCCGAGCGAAGAUUUAAUGCAGCUCCAUUUACAAAUCUCAUUGUGACGGCAGCCUGUCAUCGGUGCUGUGCAGGGACAAUGCAGGGGAGCGAGGGGAGUGCAGAAUCCGUCCAUCAGCAGGGGGAAAGGCUGGGGCUUUCAUUGCACCUGGCUGGGCACACGGACUCGGGGAUUUGGAGGCAGGUGCUUGCAUUUGCUCUGAGCGUUGGCUCCACACUGGUGGAGGUGGGGGUGCAAAAUUCAAAGCCAGACUGCCCACAGUUGGGUGUUGUAUAGCAGGGGCUGGGGGUGAAGUCCUGGGGCUUCUGGAGGUAAGGGGAGAAGCUGCUGGGGCUGGAUGGGAUGAGGAUAUUGGCAGCUGGGUGCAGAGGUUGGGGAGGUUAAGCUGUGCCUUACGCUUCAGUUAUUCCAUAAGCUUUCAGCCACCCACAGACUCAUGCUUUAAGUACUGAGAAGGUCUGAGUGAUAUGACUCCAUUGUAUUUCAGAGUCACUUACUGCUGGGUUUCUCACGCCGGUGCUGUGGUUGGAAAAUAAAUGGUUUCUUCCUUCUGCAGAAAGUUGCAAGCACUUUCAGAAGUCUUAAAAGGAAGAAUAAUUUUUAGGCUCUCAAUAACUUGUUUCCAAACCCUUCUUCCCCACCUGAAAAGAUAACUAAAAAUAAAAUAUCGACGGUUUUGUUGGGAUUAUCUUAAAGGGCUUCAGAAACCGAUGGCCUGGGCUUGAAGUGAGAUUGUUGCUGCUGUUGUCAGUGGGCAGCAAUUCAGUGCACUUCCCAGCGAGUCCUAAAAGCUCACACCUCUGUUCCUUAGCUCCCCGCUACGGCUGCGUGCCAUACUUGGUGGUGAAGCAAUUCGACUUCGUAGGGCAACCAUCGGUUCAGGCUAAGGGAGGAGAGGAGGAAUGCCCAACUUUCUGCUCCAGAGCCCCUUGAAGGUUGGCCUGCUUCUGUACCAGAGCAGGGGAGCUGGAGCACUGAGCUGGAGAGGUGGGAGCAGAUGAGCAGGAAGGCACGAAAUGGGCAGAUUUCUUAGUGGCGUUCGUGCUAUCCGAAGUGCAUUCAUCUCACUGCUUCUGCCAUCAGCAAUUCCCCAGGCGCCCUGGAGCAGUCUCUGAUUCUUAGGGAAAUUUCACGUUUUAAGAACUGCUUAUGCAAAAAAAGAAAAAAAAAAAAAAAAAAAGAAACACACCUUCCUGCAAAACAAAGUAAAAAUGACAACGAAUCCAGCGAGGUGUGCUUUUAGAAGUGCUUCGGUUUUAACUCUUAACAGAAAUGAUGUUAAGAUUCUUUGUAAGUGGAAAGCAAUAGAUUAAAAGAUGAUAAAAACACUGUUCUGGCAGUUGCACACCUUAGGGUUUUUCUCCUCAAAACCCACAGAUUUUCGUAAUUUUCUUGGGGAAAAAAGCUCUAACUAAAAAAAUCAUCUGUUUCUUUGGGAAAACGCUCCUAUUUCCAAGGCAGGGAUGAAAGCAGUGGCCCAUCCUUGAGUUUGGGAACCUCUCAAUCCCCAUUUGCCUUCACUUUCACAGUGAGCCGUCCCCUCAUUGCAAUUCAUGUCUGGAAUCUUGCAGAAAUCCAAGUCCUUGCUCAUUAAGGUUAUGUUCCACAUCUCCAGCAGUGAUGUCCCACAGCCCACCACAUGCAGGGAGCUUUGCCUUGGCUCGGGUCCGCAUUUUCUUUCCUAAUGCUUUUUGCAUCCAGAGCUUUUCAGGCAGAUCGCCCCAAUUUGGCUUCUUGGGAAGGUAUCAGUUCCACAUUUCUGCUUCUUUGCUCCCCAUGCUCAGGGGCACGUGGGCACACAAUGUCCUGCUGUGCUGUUGGUUUUAGCACUUUGCUGGAUCUGCUGAAGAUCUCCUGUCUGCAGGAAGCCCAAAACAAGGCUGAGCCUUCAUGGCACCCCCAGAGCAUCCCCACAGGACCCAGCUCUGGUGCACACACCUCCGUGAAGCGGGCCAGCAUCUCCAGGCCCUCUCCUUUCCACCAAAGUGCCCCGAGAUCUCUGGAUGAAAAAUGCUUUAUGAAAUUGUUGUUCUCUGGAGAGCAAUAGAAUUGAAUGAGAGCCUUGCUGUGGAAUUUGUAAAGCCAACUACAGCUUCUGAUGGCAAACUAAACCUUUGCUGCAGGACUCCACAGGCUGGAAUGUUUCCAUUCCCAAAAUGCCUGGAAUAAUCCAAUUCACUAAAAGCAUUGGGACACUAAGUGAACGGAACAAAACCCCUACAAAUAUAAAGAUAAUCGAGACUGUGCUCCUUUCAUCCAUUUCCCAGCAACGUGGGGCUGAUAUCCUCUCUGGUUCUGCUACCCAGAUGGGUCCACGGUUGCAGGAACCCGCUCUGGCCCUAAGGUGGUUUCAGAUUCAUUCAUUGCUCUUCCAUAGUGUGCAGAGCAUCGUAGCCCCGUGGCCGCCGGCCCCGUGCUGGCAGCUGGCUUGGGGCGUUGGGCUCGGCUCCAAGAAUAAGCAGUUUCCAAGGCAUUAAUCUUUAUAGUGAUUAUCUACAGCAAGGGCUUCGUAUGGCUUUUGGAAGUCGGUCUGGGGUGUGGGUUUUUUUAUGUCUUUUGGUGAAUUUGAGUUGAUUUAAAACUCGUGGCUCCUUUUCAGAGAGACCGUCCUGUCCUGUGCGUGGUGGGGUGAGUGGGGAGGUGGCAGUGACUUGGCCAGAAGAUGCUGAGAGGCUGCUGGGAUUGGGUCUGCCAGCAAGCUGGGGUUGAACCUUGAGGACACAGGAUGAAUCCCAUCUUUUUGGAGGCAUAGAGCAGGAGCUGCCCGCAGCCUGCAGUCCUCUAGGAGGGAGAUGUUGACCCGUGGUCCUCUUGGUGUGGGUCUAGCCAAAACACAUGGGGUGCUCCCUGUGUCCUCACCACCCCACCACCAGGUCCCGCACAUCAGGGCAGAGGCUGGGAGCAAAGAGUGGGUUUUCAGCCCCUGCAGUGGGGAGCCAGGCCCUGCAGCACAGCAGAGAGAGGGGAUUGGAGGAGAAGUGGGAGGGGGAUCAUCAUUUAAGUGCAAACAUUAAAGCUGCAUUUAACACCAUUUUUAAUAUGUGCUUAGCUGCGACGUGAUAUUAGGCAGUGAGGUAAGUGACAAUUUAUGCAGCAUUUUGAGAUUAGCUGUAGCACAGAGAGUAAAGCAACUUUUUUUUGUCAUGGUGACUAUAAUGGCAGCUAAAAUCGCUCGAGUCCAAGCCCAAAAAAGUGUAUGUUUGGGGGAGGGGAAGGAGGAUAUUGCAGAGUUUUCUGCCUUCGUGUUAAAAUGAAGGGAAUUUUGAAGCUCUGAAAUACAGAAAUCACUUCAUUUUGGGAAAUCUGAGAGUGCAAGGAGAGCCAAAGCUGCAUUUCCCGAUCAGCAGAUGCUCUCUGGGAAUAAAAGCCCUGGGUUUCACGCACACCCAGAGCUCCUGGGGUGAUUCUGAGUACAUCUUAGUGACUUUUUUUUUCAAGAUUCAGAUCCAUUCCCAGCACGAGGCCCGCUGUGUGCUCUCUGGUCGUGGAGCCAGCAAAGAGAAAGCAAGCCCCAGUCUUGAGCAGAAGAUAAGGAGCAGAAUGCCCUUGCAUCUUCCAUCCAUGCACCUGAGGUUAACAGUCGAGGAACCCAAGGCCAGGCCUAACAGUAACUCUCUGGGACUUCUGAAGAAAGGAAAGAAGUUCUGCCUGUGUUUGUACCAGAUGUGAGUCAGCGUUGAAGCAGAUUGUCAGGACAACACAGACCUGCAUUCAGGCCAUGGGAUCAGAGCACACAGGGUUGGUGCCCAUGGCACUGCUGGACUCAGAGCUCAAGAACCACCAUGUCCUCUCUCCUUUUCGUCCUCCACACGCUCCUUUUUGGGUUAACAAGAGUCAGGAAAUGUAAAAGACCUGCUUGGGCUGCACCAUGAAUCAAGAGGCUCGGAGGUCUGUGAGCAUCCCAGGAUUUGCUACGUGCCAGUGAGACGCUGAGGAUUAGAAAGUGGCUUUUCCACUCACAGCAGUCCAGGGAAGCUUUGCCGUUAUCACCCUGAACCAGAUGGAUUUUGAAGAGUCAAUGGAGAGCAAUUGAGGUGCUGCCGCAUCCUUGCCAGAAGUUAACGGGCCCUGACGCUGCUCAACUCAGUGCUGAGAGGCAUCAGGAGCUUCAGCUGUGCAUCCAGAGAUACCAGGACAGGCAAGGAAAUUAAGCCCUAGACUCCUUUUGGAGCCCCAAGCCCGUCACUUGAUGUUCUAAUUGAGAUGCCAAAGCCAAGCUAAGAUGCUGAACCUCUUUGGCUUGUGUUCAUUUCUGCUCAAUCCACAUAAAACAGCAGUUUCCAUUCUCCAGAAGGAAAUGGGAAGAUGUUCUGCUCGGGAUCCCAUCAGAGCGUGGCCCAGAGGAGCUGGUGCUGCUGCCAACCCUCAGCGGUGCCACAGCAGCCAGGUGAGAAUACACUCCUGAGCAGGGAAGGGGCUGCUGGAGUGGUUUUGCUUUCUACAUUGUCUCUCUCAGAGUAAAAAUUCAAGACUUCCAAUCUAUCUGUGCCAUGGCAUAUUUUCUUGUUUCUUGCUUUCUGCCCCAUAAGGAGGUUUCCAGGUUCAGGAAGUAGUAACAAAUUAGAUUUGUAUUUUGGGGGGGAUUUGCUGAAUUAUUUCUUUGGCUUUCAGUCUUCCCGUUUCCACUCAGCUGAGACAUUGCACUGCAGACACUUCUUCCUUCUCACUGGGAAAGGUUUUUAGGUUUUUGGAUGGGAGGUGCCUGUACCCCACUCUCAGCUCAUCAAUGCAUCGGGGAAAGCCAGGGCAGAAGCUGUUGUAUUUGCUGCAUGAGAUCUCAUUGAGGCCGGGGAGCAGAAGAGCUGCCCUAACAUCACACAGUUGUAAGCCAUUACUGGCAGCUGAAUCACAGAAGUCAUUUACCCUUCAGAGACCUCACCCACCCAGAACCUUGCAGCAGAUCCUUCUGCUCCAUCCCACUGCCUGGAUACAUCCCGUGUAGGAAACCGUCCUCCCAGAACUGAACUGUCUGUCGUUCAGUCCCCAAAAUCACAGCUUCUUUGGCAAGAUGUCUGCUGAACUGCUGAGCUUCAUCCUGGAAACUUCAUGCCCAUAUUCACCAGCCCAAACCAAGCAACAGAAAGGGAGUACAGAUGGACGGACUCUUACUUGCAUAUGUCCCUGGCCUGUCCCAUGAGAAGUUCUUGUCUCAAGUUGGGAAGUGCAGAUGGGAUGAAGUCCCAUUUACAUUGGCCUGCCAGGGAAAAACAGAGAAAGAAAAAUAAGACAGUUGACUUUGCUGUUCUAAUUCUCAAAUUCAUGAGUUCCAGAGUAUUCUGAAUAUAUUAAACUAAAAUAAGCACUUCCCACUUUUUUUCUUUUUUCCUCCAAUGUUUUGCAGCACUUUGAGGCUGCAAACUUUUAUUUGGCAGAGCUGGGAGAAGUGGUGCUGCUGCUCAGUUCCACUCCCUUCACGUGGCACUGAUCCCCCAAGCCCUGCCUGUAGCAGCAGCAAUGACAACCAGGACAUUGUCCCCUUGGGACACGCACUGAGCCAGACCCGGCUGCUUGCCUUAGCCCUUGAAAGGAAGGGGUGAAGGAAAAUGGGAAAAGGAGAAGGUGGGAAGGAGAACGAGGGAGAAAAAAAUGAAUUGCUUAAAACUUCUAUUACUCUUCAUUACCUUCUGCUUUAUGUAAGUUCCAAGGUUCAUUUACCAGCUGUAAGUGGCCUGGUGCCUUUGUGUGUAGGAGUUGUCAUGCCCAUUGCUCCCAUUAAUGUACUGCGUGAAGCUAAAGGUAGCUCGGCUGGAGCUGCAAAGCCAAAUCAAUGUAACUAAUGUACCUCGUGCUGCAAAUCCCUAAUUGUCCGCCGUUGGACUGGAUGGAUGGGCUUGGAAUAUCUGAAUCUUUGCUAUGAGGGACGGGGGGGAGAUGGCUGCUGCUGGGAGCUGCUCUGGGGCCUCUGGGGGGGGCAUGGGGUGUUCCUGAGACCAGGAGAGGGGAUGGGAGUGUGUCCUUAGGGCUGACCCACUGUGAGUUCCUCUGCAUCCAGGAGAUGGAAGCGAUGCUCUCCUGAGUUUUUCUCACAACUCCCCUUGGGGAGACUUGUUUUUUGAAGAUAAUCUUCAGGAUUCCUUUCAAAUCUGCUGGUUUGCUACAGCCAGGACAGCCAACUCCCAGUUCCGGGUAAAAACAGCAGUACAGCAAGAAAAACAUUGUCUGAACACAGAGGAGUAUUCGUCUGUUACCUGAGGGAAUAUCAGUGAUUACAGAUUUUUCCUAGCACAUAUUUGUAGGCUUGCUCAUGCGCUGAGUUCCAUUCCAGCAAGAGGUAACCUAUGGGGCUCUUUCUUUGGGAUUCUCACAAAUAAUAAUAAUAAUAAUAAUAAUAGUGUGGCUUAUUAUUCUGAUGUGAAAUGAAGGUGAGAGCUGUUGGAAGCCCGGACUGCACUUCUCUGGGUUUGUCAUUCUGCCAGGGGUUGGACUCUUAUGGAAAAUCCAACACUACAGCAGCAGAUGGGGUCUAAUUCACAGUACCUCCAUUGAAGCUGGACAUCUAUAGCUAUGCUACAUGUCAUAAAAAUAAGGUAUUUCCGAAUCUACCUGUUGGUCUCUAAUGGACCUGGAUAAGCCCUGUGCACGAGGUGUUGCUUGUUACGGAGGACACAACAAAGCCUGGCUCCUGCCCUGAAGGCCUUGAAACCUGAAUGCAUCAGAAGAUCAGAGAGGGAAGGAGAUACAAGGACAGAGGUUUAUCCUGGGUCACCCAACACAUCAAUGGCAAGGGAUUUCCCAACCCCUCCACCAAAGUCCUCACAGCACAAAAAUGUUUUGUUGUAAUGCAAAAUAAAAAUAAAAAAAAUCCUCUUUUCUAUAUUUAGCUGCAGAAUUACUCCUGAAACGUGUCAGUUCUCACAGGGAACAAAAUAAUGUUAUUAGACCGAAGGCCAGGAGAGGCAGAGAUGAUUUGGCAUUUCAUUCAAAAUUGCACCCAGGACUGUUAACAAUGGGGAACCUAUCUGGAUGCAGUGCGAGCACAAACUCUUCAGAUUUACACAUUUCAGUCAGAGCAGCCUGCAACCCUUCUGCAAACUCGGAGGAGAAUUUCAUACUUUUCCCCCCUCUCUUUAAACUGAGACAGAUCUCCACGAAAAUUCAUUACGCGGUUUAAGUGAUGGGAUUUAUCAUUCCAUUCAGCUUCUCCAGCUCGGAGCUCUCCUCGCUGUCACACCAGCGAGGCAAUUCUAAUUUGUUUCUUUCAUAUUUCCCUCAUGAAGUUCGUCUCUGAGUGAUGGGAAGAAAAUAGAGACGAGAGCCAGGAAUGGCUUGGGGCAAUGCGCUGCGCCAGCGGCCGAUUUUCUGCCUCCUGCUUCGCUGUCCUGGCUGUGGAGUAUUCAUGGAAGGGGAGACACAGGAGGAGGAAGAUUGGAGGAGAGAGACGGGCGCUGCCAGCAGCUGACUCAAGACUAAAAUACAAAAAUCCCCCCCAAAAAGGCACAAAAAAGCCACCGGAGCUUGAAUGGGCCCAGGGCACCUGCAUGGCCAGGCCAUUGGGUUCUAACAGCAACAUGAAACUGUUGGCUGAGCAUCUUAGUAUUCAUUUAGACAGGUCCCUAAAUCUGGCACCCAUUUUAAAUGCAUACAUCAUUUAUUAGAGCUGACCUUCAUCUAGUGUUAAUAAUAAAUUGAUGAUGCUUCCUGUUAAGCCUCAUAUAAACACAUCUUUAGCUAAUAAACACUCCAGCCGUAUACCCAGAGAGUUUGUUUCUGUCUGCCUAGAGUUAUUACCCCAUAAACAAGAAGCAGCUCCACAUGAUCAUCUAAUUGAUGUAUUUUCCUUGAUUCCCAAUAAGCUAUAAAAAGGUAUGUUUGUUGUGGGGAAACUACAGCUUUUAUCACCUUCUGCCUCGUUCUAAGGGAGGAUGAAGGGAAGAAAUCCACUUUAUGUUUACUAAAAUAUUUAGAACAAGCAGUGAAAGAUGGAAAACGUUUUAGAAUAUCUAUAAGUUGUAUUAAUACGAUAGUCUGUCCCUGGGAAUCAAAUGCAGCUGUUGGUAGAUAGGUAUUAAAAAGGGAAGAGAGAGAUCUCACCUUAAACAGACACGUAUCUUAUUUGAUUGCAACACCAUCCCCAUGCAAUUUCAAUGUUCUUUCUCCGCUAACACCAAAUUAAUUCAUUUUGAUUAUUGUUAUUAUGGCAAAUGGCAAAAGGAAUUAAAAGUGAUGAAUCAGGCGCUUCCUGCGAAGAGCGAGCUGGGUUUCCCACCUCCUACUGAGACACAACGAUACCUGCACACGGCUGCAAGUCCAUAAAAAUGAUGGAGGAAAGUGGGAAGGAAAUCAUUUGGCAGAUGAGAAAGAUUCCUUGCAAGGUAGGACUCUGCCAGACGUCGUACAAGACCCAAGAUUGUCGCUGUGAUCUACAAACAAUUAGAAGUGUUCUUCCCUCGUUGAAUCACAUUUUUGGCUCAAGAAGGGGUGGUGUGGCUGUAGUGAGCCACAAAGACCUAUCUGUAAGCCCAAUACAUUUUGGAGGGCUAACACUCAGUCCUGCCUGGACAGAGAGGCAGGAGGACCAGGUCAGUGGGUGAGAGUCACCAAGCUGUAAAAACCAACAAAAACUGUUAGGAGCCAAAGCCAUCCUGGAGCACAUAAUGAUUAUUUGUUUGUUUGCAGGCACCAAGAGACAGCGUGGCACUAUGAGCAUAUCCCAGCCCUCAGCCAUGCUGAGCAUGCAUGGAAAUAGCAGUGCUGCAUCUCCUGCUAACCCAGCGGGACAACAAGGGCUGCUUCACGGGGAGGUGACACAGAGGUGGCUGCAGAUGAGGCAGCUCGAGGAGAGAAGCCACCUGCCGAGGCCACCAGCUGUUCCUGUCCCAGAUCUGAGCCAAACUGUGGGUCCCAGUGUUCUCCGCAGCUGGAAAGUCAAAGAGACACAAGCCAUCUUCCAGAGUCCUUGGAGGACGUCAGCAUGAACUUCUAGGAGACAACUACAUGGAGUUAUUGCCCCUGCUGUAGGGUUUCUAUUGCCCUACAAGCCUAGACUGUUGAACUAAAUGAUCUUAGAGGUUUUUUCCGAUGUUAAUGAUCCUAUGAUAGACAAGAGCAAAGCAGCAUGACCAGUGACCAUUGGAGUGGACUUAAACAGCUGCUCACUUCUGCCAAUCUGCUCCUGCUCUCAUUCCUCACCUCUCCUGCCCAGGCCCGCUCUGGGAUCGAGAAAGGAAAGCCAAUGGGAGAUGCUUCAUUCUCUGCAGACACACAGUCCAAGUGCAGUACAGCAUUGCUGUAAAUUCCAGGCUAGGAGCAUCCAUAGCUGGCCAUCCUCUGGACCCAUCGCACUUGCUCAAGUCCAUUCCACCAUCACAGGUCCACUCCCACAUCUGUAAUUUCAGAGCUGAACCUUGUGGGUCAUAAACACCCCAGAGAUAAAUUGGCAACAAAACUCUUCUCAGAAACUCAAAAUAAGCUCACUGACAUGGGAAUCAUAACCAGAAAUCCCUGCUUCCCUCCCUCUUACAUCACUGCCAAUUUAGGAUUCAUUUAGGAGGAAAGAAACACCAUGGGUACCCCAGAAUGGUGCUCCCCUGGCUAUUACAGUUUCAGAUCUGUCAGGAUGUACAUCUGUGUGCAUCCGUCAUCCCCAUUAAUGCUGCCCCAAACCUUUGCUGAGCAAACACAGCUCACGUCACGCAACACCGCAUCCUCCCCAGCAACACCAGCUAUCGCUGCCUCGCUGCAGGCAGGGCUUGAUCAAACCUAGGAAAGUUCUUUGAGCAGGGACUUGCCUUGCUGAAUCACAGAAUUACAGAAUCAUCUGGGCUGGAACCAUCAGCUUGACUUACCAAGUCCCAUCUCUAAUCCAUGCCCCUCGGUGCCACAUCCAUGAAUGUCUUCAGUACCUCCAGGUGUGUAGACUCACCAUUUCCCUAGACAACCUGUUCCAAUGCCCAAAUGGGGCCACCAUCAGAGACAUUUCAAAUGCCACCUGCAGCAUAAGAAACACUGAGGACCAGAUGCUGGCCAUCACCUUUACAAGAGGACAGCAAGGAAGGCUGCACAAGAAGCACUUCUAAAGGUUUCAUAGUCACUGCCAUAAAGCAUUUAAUGCACGAUAAAAAUGGCAAGACCUGGUGAGGAGAUGGAAACUAGAGCCUUGCCUUACAGAUGUUCAUAAAAUAUUAAGUGACUUUAAACAGAGGAGGGAGAGGCCGCAGUUCAAUAGACCACUGCUACUCACAGGUCCAGCGAAAGCAGGAUUUCUUUAAGACCCAUUAACUCCCACACCAGCACUAAUGGUUCUGUGGCUGCUCGUUCCCCUUGCUCCACACCCUGCGAACAUCUUUAUUUAGAAGCUGAGAUUGGAGCCCAGCUCUGCGCAGAACACACGCCUGGAUGUAAUUAGGCAGCAGCCAAGCGCAGCUCCUCAGCCAGGGGAGAGUGGAAAGCCAGGUCAGGUUGUUCACUGCCCACGGCCACCUCCAACCGGCCUGAAAAUAAAUGGAUGUGGGGAAUCUGUCGGGCUUUUCAGUCCUCCUCAAAGGGGACAGAGGCAAAGGUUCUUCGGAUGAAAUGAGUUGGCUGCCCUCGGUGAGGAGCUGGGGGCUUUCACAUCCACCCUGCCAGGGAUGGAUUCAGCAUAACUCAAUGGACUUGGGGAGUUCCUGCCUUCAAAAACAUAGUAGAGCGGGCGAUUGCAGGCUGAUGUGGAGAAGGGCUCUUAGAGGAGCCACUGGCAGCCUAGAGCAUGAGUCCUGCCUUGCUGCAGUGCCAAGUGCACGGUCUGCUAAGAUUUGAUGAUGGCCAUGCUCGUCCUCAUUGAGCCAGCAUGAUGGGGAGACAGGAGGUGAUAAAAAGUCCCAUAAAAAUGUUUUGACAUUUACUUGUCCCAAGUAAGAACAGAAAACUCAAAGUGCAUGGGGGGAAAUAGAACUAGAAUCCCAUACAAUUAGCACUCAGAAAUAUCAAAACAGCUCAUUUUGGCCUAGAAAGACAUCAACCAAUGCCCACACUGCCCUCUAGCCCAGGAAAGCUGUGAGAUGGACACCAAGGCUGGGCUGGCACCCCUGAGCCACGGAGGGCAAAUCACAGCAUCAUUAAAGUUGGAAAAGAGCCCUGAGAUCAUCAAAGUCCAACCAUCAACCCACCCCCACCAUGCCCACCAAACCAUGUUCCUCACUACGGAAUCAUUAAGGUUGGAGUAGACCAUUAGGAUCAUCGAGUCCAAUCACCAACCCAUCACAGGACACUGGGGUCCCGCAGCCAAAAAGGAGGUCACGAGCAUCUGAGUGGAUGUGAAUAGCUGGGUGUCAUUUGGCUGCAGCACAAAUACUGAGGAGAAUAAAGUCUAUUCUUCGGACUGAAAAGAUUCAUUCAUGUGUUGAUACAUUUUAUAUACGUGUGCGCGUGUCUUAGUGAAAAGGAAUUAAGCGUCAAAAAAAAAAAGAGUCCUUCAGAAUUAAGGCUUAUUUCAUUUAGGAAACGUUGAAAGGCAGAACGCCAGGUGUUGUGCAGAGGUUUCUUUGUUCACUGUCACAAUUCAGCAUGAAUUUGCAAAAUACUUUGACUAAAUCCAUUCUGAUUUCUCUGACAGAAGUGUUCCAGGUGACAAUUUUUACCCAGAAAUCUCUGCUGAAAAAAAAAAAAAAACAACAAUUUAACAUCAGCCCAAAGAGAAGCAUUUCAUUCAUGUCUUUCUGAAGAAAAGAAAUGAACACUCGGCAACAAAAUUGGUACUAAUAGGGUGAGGGGAGAUAUUUACCAGAAAUCUCCAUUUCUAUACAGACCCAAGAGAGCAAGGCACGGAGCUUGGAUCCAUGAACCUCUGGGAGCCAUUGGAUGGGGAACUCAACUUCAGUGCUCAGAAUGUGUGCUGGGAGGGACUGAGGAGCAGCUGUGGAGCUCUGUGUCUUACCAUCAUUAUGACUGGUAUCAUUAUUAUCAUUACUGUGAAUGCGUGAACCAGAAAGCCAAGCGUGCCUCCUGCAGCAGUGCACUGCGAAGUAACAAAGCCAUGAGUGGUCCUUCCAGAAAGGGUUUCCUGCUUUCUUGGCUAUUGGCCCAUCCCAAGAUUCGGGUUCAGCCAAAUCCUAAACUCUAAGGCAUUCCCCUUCUGUUUGACGGGGAACUGCCAACACGUCUCAUCAGUACUUAUCUGAAUCGAGGGGGAGACGUUCCAUUUUAUGACGAGAGGCAGACAGCCAAGUCCCAUUGAUCUUCAAUGAAAAUCCCUCAGUGAAAAAUCCCUCAUCCCCUGUCAAAACACGAAGAGAGGGGCUUUGCCUACACAGCUGGUUUUGUUCGAAGGCACGCAUCAUCAUUGGGUCUGAAUUCCUAUUGCUGUCCUAUUAUUAUCUCUGAUUAAGCAGGGUGAAGUGGAAAUUAGGCGAGUACUGCGUACUCACAGCUAUCUGCUUUAAUGAGCCCUGCUUAACCCAUUUAUUUUCUUCAAGAUAAAGCUUCCUGGGGGGGUAUUCACCGCCAGCCCCCACCACUGGACUGUCAUCUCCCCCUCCUGAAUAUUAGGCUCAGGCUCAUCCCCAGUGGGUCAGGGUAAUGACUUACUUUCAGUAUUUAAAGCCAGCCCAAUAAAACUCUAAAUGACUUUCUAAGGGUGCAGUAAACUCCUCACAACAUAAUCAAUGCACAUUAACAAAACAGUGGGAAACCAAGAAGUUCUUGGGGGAGGGAGGAUAAAACCCAUGCCAUGAAUCUUUCUCAUGUUGUUUUAUAGGGCAGGAACCUCCAGCUCCCUUAUUACAUUUGAUAUAUAGAGAUGGGAAAUAUUUUCCAGAGCCAUUUAUAUCUUACACUGGGUUUCCCAAAGGAGCUUAUGUGUGCAGAAAGGUUCCAACUAGCCCUGAUUCUUCCAAGGUAUCCAUAGGCCGUAAGUGCAUAUCAAAAGGGAUUUUUACAAAUGUCACAGCAUCAUUUGGGGUUGAAGGGACCUCAGGAGGUCUGAUCUCCUCUCAGAGCAACUUCAGGCAGAUUCAAAUCAGCUCAGGUCCUCAUCCAGCCAACCUCUGAACAUCUCCUCUUUCGGGCUGUCCUAGGGCUGCACGAGUUUGCAGGGAAGAGUCCUUGGUGCCAUGCAGCUUUUGGGGCUUCAUCCCAUACAGUGGCACUCAGAAGAUGCCCAUUCCCCCACCGAGAGCUUAUGCUUGGCCCUCUCCAUUUCCUGAGGCUCAGCACACCACAGGAUGUGCUCCUGCGUGACAGCUUGGGCAGCUUGAUGCUUGAGACCUGCUUGCUGCUUUCUGUCUCUCAGCAGAAUUAGUCACUUCUAAACAUAAUGCAUGAGCUUUACACCUCAAGUGGAAAAUAGGUCCUUCUCUCAAGGCUAGAAUGAGUUUCAUUCACUGUGGCUUGGGCGCAAGAAAGCUAUGCACUUCAGGUGAGACACCUUCCACUUUCUUGAUAAUACUACUUAUUGUACUUACCGUGUAUAUAUGACACCACUUGUACUACUUACAGGGGGAGAAGAAUCCAAACACAAAUGACCUCAUGCUGCAGUCAGCCCUGAAGUGAGCUCUGGAGCAUGGUAACCAGCUCAGACUUGAUCAUUCCUCAGUGUUUCAAGGCAGCCAGACCAGUCCUGCUCCUGGGCUGCUGUCAGGCCCAGAGCUCCAGCCAGCAUCUCCAGUCAUCUCCCACUGCCAGCAUCAUUAUGGGAUCUAGAGGUCCUAUCAGGCUCUGCAUCCCGCUGUGCUAGGAGCUGCAUACAGACACACAGCCAAAUCCUGGCCCAAAAAAAGUCUGCCUUAAAAAAAGACAAGACAGAUGGAGGCACAGAUUUAUGGAAAGUCAUACAGCAGGUCAGAAGCAGAAUUGAAAUGAGAGCGCGGGCGAGUAGCAGGCCUAAGAUCCUCAAAUUAAUGUUUUUGCUUUGGCACCAAGAUACCAACCAUACAUCUCAAAUUCCAGCCACCUUGAAAUCCAAGCCCAGAAAGCUGCGAGCCCUGUCUCAGAAAUAGCUGGUACAGAGCCAUAGCACCUGAGAGGAGCUACAAGCCCAAACUGCUGCCUGCUUCUCCCAGCAUGCAUUUCUAUGGUGUCCUCAGUUUUUACUCUCCCAUGAUAAUUUUCUCUGAAGCUUGGCACGAUCUCCAAGUCCCACUGCUUUCCCCGGGCUCUGACUCACACUGACCUUUUCCCAAACCCUACUUCUUUUAGUAAUCAAGACAAGCUACUGUUGCAUCAUUUGUUAUAAGAGCAGAUAAUGUUACCGAUAGAGAUCAUUAAUUAUUACAUCAGCAAUCAUGCUAAAUACGGCUUGUGUUCAUUAUCACAGUGCUGUGUUUAUGUUAAUAUGAUGCUUAUAAACAGCAUUAGUAGUAAUUGCAACAAUAAUGCCACCACAGUUGUGAAGCGUUGAUGUAGCAUCCGUCUGCUCGGAGAUGCACUGUGAUGAAUAACGGCACCGCCAUCUGGCAGCACUGGCUGUGCAUGGCUCACACUGAUCAACAUGGCAAAGCAGGCAGCCAUCUCCAUCCCAGGAGCUCCCACUGGUUCUGGCUUGCCAGCAGCCAUAAAUCACCUCUAAACAGCUCCUGGAGAGGAGGAUGGGAACCCACAGGCAAAAGCUGGGAGCACCGAAAUAGAAAGCAAGACGGCUCCUUACUGCAGCAUGCAAAGAGGCCCAUGGAGGGGAGCCUGCCAAACCACACUGAAUGAGAAGAGAGACAUCACUGCAAAAGUACAGCUCCUUCAGAGCGGCUAUCAUUUUAGUUUCAGUCGCUUUUAACAGCAGCACUUUCAUGGUUUUUGCUUGGAGAGGAGUCCCUCUUUCCCUGGGUCUGUGUGCUAAUGAGGUCCUUGCAAAGCAAACAGUACCCCAGUGGAUGCUAUCACCAAGGCUGUAUUUAAUGCCUUGAAAACACCCCGUGAGCCAGAGGCGUCACCUCCACUGUGCAGCACAACUCUUUUUACCAUGGUCUCUCCAAAGAGGGCAGGAGGAGAAGGGUAAAGGGGAGGUAUCUCUGCCCUCACGAACACCAGGGUUGACUGCAGAUUCUGCACCCCUGCAAAGAAUCCACAUGCCCAAAAUGGAGAAGUGCUGAAUUGGCAGCCAUGUGGUUCCCUACAGGUGCGUGUCCAGUUAUGCCAAGUGCGUGCUGGAAGCAGCUAAACCGGUCAGACACUGGGUCUUGUUGAGCGUUCCCCUUCAUCCAUGGGACCAAAGCAAGAUGCUGAAGACAAAAGAGAGAGCUCUUAGUCCAUGGUCUCCUAUCAAAGGAAAAUCAUUCUUGUCCCACAGGACAAAAGUGCAGCAGCAACAUUAUGGCUAGAGACUUGUGGUCUCAACUGCCACGUCAUGAGCAGGAUUUUCUAAGGUCUUUCUCAGAUCUCCUACUACAGCAAGUCUGAAAUACGUGGCUCUUUAGGGAACGGUGCAUCAAAAGAUGAAUGCUCACUCCUGCAUCUCCUCCUCCCCCCGUUCGUGCUGAAGGAGGCUCUCAUCCACACUUCUGCUCAUGCCACAGCUGUGCAAAGCUGAAGGAAAGUGAGGAGGGGCUUGCAGAGAAGAUUCCUAAAUCUAAACCUAAAAAGGCCUGAUUGCUGGGAAAGGUGCCAGCCCCUGGCAGCUGGAGGCACGCUUCAGCACAAGCUGAGCACCGUUUUUGAUAAUCUUGACCUACAGAGAGCAACGCCAUUGCAAAUCCCAAGCAGAUCCCAAACGAGUUUGUCUCUGCAUCAGGAGCUCUAUGGGAUUUGCCCACAAAGAAAUCUAAAGCAGAACAAUUAAAUUCCAACAUAGACAAUGAGCUUCCUUGGUGAAAACAGCAGGAGUGAGUGCUGAAUAGAAAGCUUACACUUACGAACUUGACAUGACCAAAUCCUUUUGGGUUUUUGAUGACAAAUUUUUGAGGCUUCCACAGGAAUUUCUGUUUUGAGUCAAAAUAAAACAAAAGAUCCUUCCUUUUCUUGCUAGAAGUGGUAUUUCAAGACAAAAGUGUUAAUUCCGAGAUGAAUAUCAUUCAAAUGUUCUCAUCAAAGAAGGCAAAAGAAUCGGAAAAAUGGGCAUUUUUCUCUCAAGAAAAGAACAGUUUUGACCAAACCAUCUUUUUCCAGUGGAGACAUCUUUCCUGUGAAAGUACGUCUCUUUUCAUCAGCCGUGCUGCUAAAUGUGGCACGCUCAGGAAAAGCAGCAAGCUGCAGCAAUGUCCCGCUCCCAGCACACACAAAGGCUCCCCAGCUCAGAUCAGGUGGGAUAAUGACACACCUUAAUGAAAGAACAAAGUUUCCAGUAAACUCUCCUUUUUCACUCCUCCCAGCUCAGUUGCGAGCUCUUCAAAGUUUCUCCUCUCACUGAGUUGAGUCAUUAGUUUUCAGAUAAGUGAUGCUUGAGCCUUUGAUUAAAAUUACUGGGGAGCAUCUCUGCAUGAUUAAAAAGAGAUAACACAAUAAAAGGAAGAGGGCUUUACACCAUUAUUACAGCAAAUAAGUGCAAUUCCCAACCUGAGAGCUGCAUCAACUUGUCUAAUAUAAUAAAUGCUUCCCCUGUUGGAAACGCGUCAAAUUAGACUUCAAGAUGUCAGCCCUCGGUUUUCAAAGGCCUUGAAGCUUUACAGGGCACUGCAUGACUGCAAGCCUAAUAUGAUGGAGAGCAAGGAGGUGACACUGCCCCAUAGAGCAGGGCGCGGAGGGAGCAGUGCUUGUUAGUGCUGAUAGGCACCAGAGCAAUAUCUGCUACGUCAAAAAGGUGCAGACAGACACGCAUGAUGCCAGGAAAAGGAGCCUGGAGAGGGGCCAAGGGGUGGAUGUGGGGUCCAGGGUGGGAGGCUUUGGGCUGCUCCCACCCACUGAUACACCGCCCAAGGCAGAGCCACUGGCUGCAGGCUCCUCGCAGUGAGCACGCAGCAGGGGACACGCCGGAAUAGCUCUUUGUCUAAGCAAGAAAUGUCAUUUCCAGUCGUAUCCAAAUAAAAAUAGCUGUUCUGAGCGAUUAAAAAUAUCAGCCAUUUCCAGUCCAAAGAGAACGUCUGCGCAGGAAGUUAUUUCAGAACUACCCCAUCUGAUUCCCUGAUGCAGACAAGGCACGAGUCUGCUUUCCCAGGGAAGGGAUCCUUACCUCCCCAGGCAUGAUGUGGGGCUCCAACUGUAGGUGUGAAGAUCCUGUGCUGCUGGGAGCUUGUAAAACUGUGGAUGGAUAGCUCACAGAUGCGUCCUAUUCGUAGCUUCAAGUAUACAAGUUUAUCAUGCAAAUGAUAUGUCAACAGAAUAGCUGCACUUGGCAAUAUUUCCCAAAGUAAAUUACGCAGUUAAACAUGCCAUGUGUAAUAUUAAGGAGGUUAUGUGUUACAUGUAAUAAGCAGAUGAAGCCAAGUUGUCAGGAAGCCAGGUUUCCUCAGAAAUGUGAAAUUCAUCUCAGAGGAACCAAGGUGCGUGUGCCUCUUCCCACCCGAGCGCUGGGCACAGCAGGGUUGUGUUAAUGCCAAGGUCCCGCAAGGUGAUGCAGUCUCAGCUGAGACCCUCCAUAGAGGUUUUAUCUGUGUGGCUAUACCCAGCCUGAGCCCCACGGUCAGCAUCUCAGGAGCCGGUGCUUGCACUCUGUAUUUUUAACAGCUUGAGCUCGGUGCAUCUGGGAACCAUUUGCAAGGGUAAAAAUAAUGCAUGAUCCAAUCUCAAGGCUUUUCACUUCCUGAAGGGUGGAAAUACCAGGCAAGGAAAGAAAGAAAGAAAGAAAAAAAAGAAAGAAAGAAAGAAAGAAAGAAAAGCUCUUGGAUUAUUCCAGCUCCACAAAUUGCUCCCCGAGGCGAGUAAAUGUUGUAAAAAAACAUACACAAACAUUCAGAUUCAAGUUUAACCAAACACCGGGACAUUUGGAUUUAUUCAAGUGUCAGCAGCCCCCAAGCUUAGUUAUUUCAGACUCCCUUACAUCAGCAAAUGUUUUUCUGUUCCACAGGAGCUCAAAGUCAAACCUGGGGGCUCCAGUCCCUGAAAGAAUCGAAGGUUCCCCCGCCUGCCUCGUUAAACUCCAGCGUGAAAACCGCUCCAGUGAUUUAUGGAGAAUCAAAGCUAAAGCCCCACUCGUUUGCAGAUGUGAUGUUUGGAUUCGAGGUGUUGUUUCAAAGAAAAGUGAUGGAUCAAAACCUGGAGACGAAGUCCAGCCCAGUCCCCAGCAGCAGCCCUGACCUCUUCUCCAAGACCCCCAUCCUCUGCAGGUCUCCCAACCCAGUCAGCACUUUAUUUUGAAGGGAAGGAGGCUCUUACCUCACCCAUGCUUCAAAUUUCAAGGCCGCCACGAGCCUUGGGCUCAUAUUUUUCACACAUCCUAAAACAUCAUCCCUCCCCCGGCACACACGUGCGCGCAUUCCUUAUGGUCUGCUUCCCCUCAGGGCCCCACAGGCCUGAAGAACGAUAAAAUUUCUGUAAAGUAGGUGUUUGAGGCAUUUUCUAACAGUUCAUGACCCUGCUUAAACCCCUGUGAGGAACUCAGUAGGAUGCUUUGCAUAACUCUGAAGAAGGAUGUUUUGGAGUUAACUGCUUCCAAAACAUCCAAGCGAUGAGAAAUCCAGUGCUACCAGCAGCUCAUUUCCUUUGCUAUUUAAAUACAACACCCUUCUCUGGGCUGGGCUGUCCUGGCCCAGGAUCCAGGCACUGCUGCUCACGCUGCUCCUGUCGUGUCCUGAAGCUCUUGGUCGGACCAUGUCUCCUCCCUGCAGGCGUAAGGAUGCCACCAGCCAGCUAUCACCAACUCUUGGCCAAAUUAAGGAGAUCACACUCCUCGAUUUGCUCUCUGAAAUGUGUGAUUUCCCCUUCAUUAGCCUUCUUCUGGCUCUUCCUUAGUCCUCCCCCCCACCAAUAUUUCCAUAUCCUUUUUCAAGCACUGAGGCAUUGCAUCCUUCCUGUGCAAACUGGCCACAGGCAUUGCUUGGUGGCCUCCAUCUCAACAGAGCAUUUCUGAAUCAUCAGUUACCUACUCCCCAGCCUUCUUAGGGCUAGAAGGGGAUCCCUCACCCAACUUUUGGUUGGCCUGUGUUAUAUGCGAUGAAUGGGCUGACAUUUGACCAUAUAAAAAUACCAUGUUUACUUGACCCAGGGCUGCCAAGCAAGCCUGAGGCUCCACAUCAUUAACUGGGACUCUGCAAGAGUCGCUUUUCUUCCCCUUUCUUUGUGUCAUUUUGAAAAUUUUUCGGUGAGGAUUUGAUGGAUUCUUCUCCUUUUCUUCCCUCAGUCACUGCUGGAGACAUUAAAUGGGAUAGGGUCAGGACCAGCCAUUUAAGGUCUCCUCAAGAAACAAAGCUGUUUGAUAUGAAUUCUCCUUUUAGGACUCUGUUUAAAAAAACUAAUUACAAACCCCAGCCAUUUAAUGUGCACCAUGUUGAUUUUGGAUGGCUCCUCUUUAUCCGUGACAGCAGCCUAUGAUACAAAGCCAAGCACUUUUUAGACGUUUGACCAGUUUAGGAAUACGUGUAAGGCCAGUGACAGCUGGCCUCCAGGAGACAGAUGGGCUCUGAGGGCAGGAAGGAUUAUUGCGACCAGGAAUCCGACCUCCCGAGUGACGCGGGCUAUAAAAUGUCAUCCAUUAGGCUCCCUUGGAAAUCCCAACGAUAAAUCUUUCUGGUCCAAUCCUUUCCCUCCACGGCUCCCCUGGGAGAAGCGAGGUUGCUCAGAGUGCCCAGUAGGAUGCUGGUGGGGCUGGUCUGGCUCUGUUCGUAUUCAGAUCUCUCCUACUGGUGCAGCAGGCUUCCAAAAGCAUUCAUAGUUUCCAUGUUGCUAAUUUUAGGGCUUUGCUUUCCAGCACCCACAGACUUGGAGACACAGCCUGCUGUCUCGCUGCAGCUUACAUGUUUCCUAAUGGUCCCAACCCAGAGAUUUACACUCAGCCAACUCACUUUGAAACCCUUCCAUAAAAACGCCUUCUGCAAACAGAUUUGUUUCAUUAUCGUUGGGCCCGAAAGUGCCUGAAGUAACAAACAACUUCAAACUCCUUCAAAUUUAUCCUGGCACCGGGUUUGCACUUCAUUUAGAUGCUGUGUACCUGGGUGCAUGCCCUGUGGGGGACAGGCAGGAGAGGGACGGAUGGAGCUCUGUGCAAUGUAUCAGUGAUUAUGGUGCAAUAAAUAUUGGAUGGAGGAUCUAUGAUAACAUCUA